UAAAAUUAUAAUGAGGUGCUUUUCCCUCUCCCCAACCGCUGUCAUGUCCCGCUACGCUAGUUCUACUGUGCUUUCCUUCCUUGGCCUAAGAAAGAAGGCUAGUAACUUCCCUUAUUCAUAGGGGCAUUUCUAUCGAGUAGUCACUCUUUCUGUCCUGACUCGGGAAUAAACCCGAUGGUCAAUCUUUCCCUGGCUUGAGAGGUUUCAUUUCAGGUUAAGCAGGGGAUCUUCACUCUAAUGCUUUCAUUCCUUCAGCUUCAUAUAGGUGAAUCAUUGGUUCUUUUCCUCUCUUUCCCUCUCGCGAGCUUCCUUUCGGAGUCGACGUCGGGACGCCCUUUCUUGCUGAUGGUCAUGUUCUUCCUUUUUGACCCAUGCUUUGGUUGAGGAGAAAAACCUUGUGCAUAAACAACAAUACCCCUAGCUUGGAAAUACUAUAUUACCGGCUGGCAGGUUUUUACGCGAAAAAGACCCCCAUCCGCAGUCUCUGGUCUAGCAGGUAUUUCUUCCUAUUUUGCUUUUGUCUCAGCAUAUCUUUCAUCAGCAGAGGAUUCUUCGCCCCUUCUUCCACAUCAACCCUCGUAAGUAGCAGAGUCCCGUCAGUUCACUUCCUUGAAUUCUUAGUCGAGUAAGCCUACCAAUAGCGGGAGCAAUGUCCAGUUCAACCGAAACUACUGCUGCAUAAAGGGCAGGUCCAACGGCACAAGACCUCCUAUUGAGAAAAGAAAAGGUAAAUACUUAGCUUCCUAAUAAGCUUUCAAGAGAACAAUGUGUUCAAACCGAAGCUCCUAGAUCAAAGGCAUAACUUGGGUCUACUGGUCUGACAUCGCUCCUAGAAUUGGAUCCGAUCCUAGCCUAGCUUAAAAGAAGUCGUUACGCGAGAAGGUGUAGGUGCUGCUCGAUCGAGCCAAGUAGUCCCUUUCUGCUCAUAGUAGCCUUUACUACUCAUAAUGGCCAAUACCCCUUCAACUAGAGUUUCGUAUUCUACUCUGGAAGUGAGUGAGUCAAGAUCUGCAAGGACUGAACCGAGCUUCCUCCUCCACUGGAUCGAGUUCACUUACGCUUUCCCUUCUUCAUCUCAAGGUUUUGGAACUUAUUAUAAGUAGCUCCCACAUUGGUUUCAUUAUGGGUCUGAAGCCCUGCCCUUCUAUCUUUCCCAGGAGCUAAUUCCGACAUAUCUCUCUGUUCGAAUCGAAACUUCCUCUGUUUGUUGGAAAGAAGUCCGCUCUUCGGUCAUCUAUAAUAGAAGCGAAGCAGCUACUGCAGACAGGACUUAGGGGUAGGCAAGAGAGGCUGGCUUCCAGCGAAUAUGAUGCACCUUCUUAGUCGACUGAAGGUCAUUGUAAUACACAUCGCGUGCUCGAAUAAGUGGGUCCAGCCCCUUAAGUGAUCUAGAGUGCCAUGGCUGGUUGAGGGUUUGAUAGAAAA